GUAUGAUGAUGAUAUCCAUGCGUGUCAACUGACUCUGGCCAUCCCUGGUGUGGUGGUGCUCAAGGCAGUGUUUUGCUGACUGAGUUUUCACAACAACAAGGACCCAGAGACGUGAUCAUACAUUCAUGGUUCUGAGCAC
rnacentral:snoRNA from 1 species